rfam:Oryza barthii chromosome 9, whole genome shotgun sequence.
AUCCCAUGAUGAGGACAGGCGGACACAUAUUCCUGCAGUCGUUCCCAUGCUUCAGGAAUGCACUCGUCCCUCGUCUGCUGGAAACUAGAAGUCCUUCCACGAAGGGC